rnacentral:rRNA from 1 species
AGUAAAUAGAUACCCCCGGUAGUCCUGGCAGUAAACGGUGCACGUUUGGUCGUGGGCGCAAUCGACCGCGUCCGCGCCGGAGCUAAACGCGUUAAACGUGCCGCCUGGGAAGUACGGUCGCAAGAUUAAAACUCAAAGAAAUUAACGGGACCCGCACAAGCGGUGGAGUAUGUGGCUUAAUUCGAUGCAACGCGAAGAACCUUACCUGGUCCUGACAUGCAUUGUGUCUCCGGUGAAAGCCGGAUAGGGUAGCAAUACCCGCUUUGCACAGGUGCUGCAUGGCUGUCGUCAGCUCGUGUCGUGAGAUGUUGGGUUAAAGUCCCCGCAACGAGCGCAACCCCUGUGAUUUGUUGCCACCGGCUUAUGCCGAGCACUCGAAUCAGACUGCCUCGAUCAACGAGGAGGAAGGUGGGGAUGACGUCAAGUCCGUAUGGCCCUUACGACCAGGGCUGCACACGUACUACAAUGCCCAGUACAAUGUGAACCGAGACCGCGAGGUGGAGGAAAUC